CAAAAGGCUCUUUUAAGAGCCACCUAUAUUUUCACUGAGAGUUGU
rfam:Monodelphis domestica chromosome 2, whole genome shotgun sequence.